rnacentral:rRNA from 1 species
UACGAAGGGGGGCUAGCGUUGCUCGGAAUUACUGGGCGUAAAGGGAGCGUAGGCGGAUAGUUCAGUCAGAGGUGAAAGCCCCAGGGCUCAACCUUGGAAUUGCCUUUGAUACUGGCUGUCUUGAGUAUGGGAGAGGUUAGCGGAACUCCGAGUGUAGAGGUGAAAUUCGUAGAUAUUCGGAAGAACACCAGUGGCGAAGGCGGCUAACUGGCCCAUUACUGACGCUGAGGCUCGAAAGCGUGGGGAGCAAACAG